GCGCUUUGGCAGCACAUAUACUAAAAUUGGAAUGGUACAGAGAGGGUUAGCAUGGCCCCCUGCACAGGAAUGACAUGCAAAAUAAUCAAUUAAAAGACUAUAAA
rnacentral:snRNA from 1 species